GAUAGCUCACUCAGUAGAGCAUGAGACUCUUAAGCUCAAGGUCACGGGUUCACGUCCCAUGUUGGGCA